GGACGAGGGUGGGCGGGGGUGCGGGGGCGGGGGGUGCGCGUGCGGCGCUGCUGAGAUCCCGGCUACACGCUGAUCUUAUUCGAUCGGGCCGGGGGCGGCCGCCCGGCCCGAGAUGAGAAGACCCCUCCCGCGAAGCCCGCGGGCGCUGUGCGGGGAGCAGAGCGCGGAGGCCGCCGCCGGCCCGCCCGGCGCUCAGAGGUGAUGAGUCGAUCAGAUAGACGAGGCCGCGGCCCAUGAGUAUCGAGGCGAUUCUGAUCUGA